rnacentral:misc_RNA from 1 species
GAUGAAGAACGCAGCGAAAUGCGAUAAGUAAUGUGAAUUGCAGAAUUCAGUGAAUCAUCGAAUCUUUGAACGCACAUUGCGCCCGCCAGUAUUCUGGCGGGCAUGCCUGUUCGAGCGUCAUUUCAACCAUCAAGCCCCCGGCUUGUGUUGGGGACCUGCGGCUGCCGCAGGCACUGAAAAGCAGUGGCGGGCUCGCUGUCACACCGAGCGUAGUAGCAUACAUCUCGCUCUGGGCGUGCUGCGGGUUCCGGCCGUUAAACCACCUUCAUAACCCAAGGUUGACCUCGGAUCAGGUAGGAAGACCCGCUGAACUUAAGCAUAUCAAUAAGCGGAGGA